GGGGAUAUAGCUCAGUUGGUAGAGUGCUUGUUUCGCAUGCACAAGGCCCUGGGUUCGGUCCCCAGCACCACCA
rnacentral:tRNA from 1 species